ACCCUGCCCAAUGAAUUUAAAUUUAAAUGGCCGCGGUAUCUUGACCGUGCAAAGGUAGCAUAAUAAUUUGCCAAAUAAUUGCUGGCUAGAAUGAAAGAGUAUACGAAAAAAUAAUUGUCUCACUUAAAAAAAUAUAAACUAAUAUAUACGUGAAGAAGCUUAUAUAUAAUCAUAGGACAAGAAGACCCUGUAGAGCUUAAUUUUAUUGUAAUUAAUAAUUAUAAAACAAUUUAGUUGGGGCAACAAAGGAAUAAAAUAAACUUCCUAAAAUUAAUAGACCUUUAAGUCAUCUUAUAGAUCCUAAAAUAGAUUAAUAAAUAAAAGCUACCUCAGGGAUAACAGACUAAUUUUAUUAUAGAGUCCUUAUCAAAAAUAAAAGUUGGCACCUCGAUGUUGGCUUAGGGUAACCUUUAAACGC
rnacentral:rRNA from 1 species